UCUCAUGUGCUCCAUUUUUCCCCAAUGAAAUACCCAUCGACAUAUAUACUAGAGCUAGCAAGUUUUCAGCCAUAAACGGUUUUGAAAUUUUCAACUUUAAAACUAUACAACUUGGAUUUGUAGCCCAGCUGCAAACGGGAUAUGUAUAUAUAAACUUUUGGACUAAAUGAACCCCAAGAUUCCAAUGCUAGCUCAUUCAGAGAAUAGGACAUUUCUUUUUGUCCCCUCCCUUCUUCACUCAUGGGCAAUACUGUUAGAAUUGUAAGAAAAGCAUUUCCACUCUACUGGGCAGAAAGUUAUUGCCAAGGGAGUGCCUUGACUCAGGAGAGUUUUGAGAAGGGGAGGAAGAAAUAAAAAGGAAAAUAACACAAAAUGAAAUGGGUAGACUUGAGAGUAAAAAAUUAAGAAAAAAAGAGGGUUAAGGAUUUUAAAAAUCCAUAAUAAAGUCAGGCACCAUGCCUAUAAUCCUAGCUACUCAGGAGGUUGAUUGAGGUCGGAGGAUUCCAGUUCAAUGGCAGUCCUGACCUUUAGGUCUGUGAGACUCUGAUCUCUAAUUAUUUAACCAGCAAAAAAAGACAGAAAUGGAGUUCAAGUGGUAGAGCACUAGCCUUCAGUGGAAAAUCUCCCAGACAGGGCCCCAGGCUGUGAGUUCAAGUCUGCGUAGCACAGAAAUUUGUGUAAACACACACACUUUACCAAAACAGAAAGUUUAAGUGAAAGGAGGAAAUAUCCAUGGAAUUUCUGUAAGCCUUAUCUAGACAAGCCUCUACACUGAGUGACCAGUUAAGUCACUAUCUUGCCCAGGAGAAGACUCCUAGUUUCUGAGGAUGCAGUGGCAAAACAAAAAGUCAGUCACCCGUUUGAAGGUCAUUUUAAGCUAAUCUGGGCAGAAUUUGAGGAAAUGUUAGAAAUCACGUAAUUCCUCCCCUCUCACCCCCCACCCCCACCCAAUAGAAUGGUCAACUAAAUGUAUCUUUUUCCAGUGCAAGUGAUUAAACCCUAGACCUUGGGAAUGCAUGUCUAUAGAAUAUCAUUAGAGGCACACAACUUUGCAGCAGAUGCAGUAUCCCUGCUCUGCCUCUUCUCUGCAGGUUUGAUGGCUUCUUUGGGCUAUGGUUUCUCUUCUCAUCAUGACAGUGAUCAUACUUAUGUCAUGUCACCGGGACUAUAGGCAACCACAAAGCAUUUACUGUUAAUCUUAGUACACGGGAAACACUCUAUACCUGAUAGCUAUUAUUAGUAUAACCACACAUUUUGUGGUAUUUCAUUGAUACUGCUCUCCAAAUAUUUCCAGCUCUCUCUGCUUCUUGGCACUUACAUGUUUAGCGGGAGCCAUGUGAAUAAUUAUAACCAAUGUUUUGUGAGCAAGUGACAUGGGUUACAUCUAGGGCAGGACAAGUAGUUCUAUGUCCUCAGUGAGCUUUUAUGAUGGAGAUGGCAAUGGUGAUUAUUCCAUGUACCUAAAAAGGACUCCACCUGAACUUAUGAUGAAAUAGCACAAGUAAGAAAAAAACUCUUGUUCUAAGUACAGAGAAUUAGACAGUAUUUGUUUCUAUCGUAUUACCUGGACUAUUCUGACUGAUGUUUCCUAGUUCAGUUUUAUACCAUGAUUUCCCUUCUAUCAUUCAAUUUAAUCUUCAUAAUCUAGAGAAAAAGGCAGGAAAUACAUAUUUAGUAGACAUGAAUUUCAGAUCACUUAUUGAAUGAACAUUAGGUAAGUUGUAUUGAUAUAUUUGCAAGCUAGCUUUUUUAGAUUUUUGUCAAAUCCAAAAUAUUUUUUCAGUGCACUGUGCUCAGAUGCAAAGGCUCUUCAGAUAUAACUCUGAUAAUGUAAUUACUAACAUGAGCCUUUAACCAAAUAUUAAUAAGAAAACCAACAUUUCCUGAAUGUUUAUAAUAGCAUCCCACUGGCGUUAACAUGCCAUUGAUAUUAAAAUGUCUCACUGGCUCUACACUACUAGAAACAAACAUGACUGCCAUUUAAAUCAUGGCAUUAAAAAAUUAUUACAAUGGUAUAAACUUGUUGAAAGACAAGUGCAUUAACUUGUAUGUGAUUCCUCUGAAGAUCAA